rnacentral:rRNA from 1 species
UACGGAGGGAGCUAGCGUUGUUCGGAAUUACUGGGCGUAAAGCGCACGUAGGCGGCUUUUUAAGUCAGAGGUGAAAUCCUGGAGCUCAACUCCAGAACUGCCUUUGAUACUGGAGAGCUUGAGUCCGGGAGAGGUGAGUGGAACUGCGAGUGUAGAGGUGAAAUUCGUAGAUAUUCGCAAGAACACCAGUGGCGAAGGCGGCUCACUGGCCCGGUACUGACGCUGAGGUGCGAAAGCGUGGGGAGCAAACAGG